CCGGCCAAUCACAAGAGAGGUACAGGGGUAAUGCACGGGUGGUGUGACGUCAAAUGUAUUGUCUUUGGCCAUGAUCGUUCGCGGUUGAUUUGAACGCCAGUCGGUUGGUGUAUGAACGAGGAAGUACAUCGCAGAACGCUUUCUCCGAUUUCAAACGUAAAAAGGACUUCAAAGCUCGGGAAAUCAAGUCAAAACUGCUGCAGCAUAACGAGACCCAUGAUGAAUCUGGCCCAUGGGGUGUAAAAGCAAGGAUGAGAAGUCAUCGCACUGACGUGGUGGCAGUUCCCAGGUUGAUAUACAACAUGGCAAUCAGCAAUAAGAUAACCACUUCUUUUGAAUGAAAAAUACAACGGAGAUUGCAUCUGAUGAAUAUGAUCGAAAAUCACAGUUCAAGAAAAGAAACAUCCAAAUUGAGGGUGAUGGACCAACUGCCUUCUAACUAGUGACCCCGGCAUCCAACCAUUGAUGGAUGCAAGCCAGCUGUCCUAUUCCUACCUACGUGAAAACACUCCCACGGAGACGAAUAGGGAACUCUGGAUGAAGAGUGUCCCGCUUUUAAUCUCUGAGGUAUACAGAUUCUACUUCUUUUGGAUCUUCGGGCGGCUAUGGCUUGGGUUAGCAUAGCCUUUUGCCAUUAGUAACUGCAUUUAGCCCUUACUAAUGCAUCACUGACUUAGCCCUUGCAUUGAGAACCAGGAAUAAAGUAAUUUACUUGAGAAUCGGGACUGAGGAAUAAGAACGAAGGAGACAACUUCAGGCUUGGUAAAACCAAUUAGUGAUUCUUAAUAUCGACCGAUGAUUACACCAUUGUGAGUGGAACAUUCAUAUUUGUCCUGAACCUAUCGAAUAAAAACUGGAAAGUUUCACAAAUGA